rnacentral:rRNA from 1 species
UACGGAGGAUCCAAGCGUUAUCCGGAUUCAUUGGGUUUAAAGGGUGCGUAGGCGGGAUGAUAAGUCAGUGGUGAAAUCCUACAGCUUAACUGUAGAACUGCCAUUGAUACUGUCAACCUUGAGUACAUUUGAAGUGGGCGGAAUGUGUCAUGUAGCGGUGAAAUGCUUAGAUAUGACACAGAACACCGAUAGCGAAGGCAGCUCACUAAACUGUAACUGACGCUGAGGCACGAAAGCGUGGGGAUCAAACAGG